rnacentral:rRNA from 1 species
UACAGAGGUCUCAAGCGUUGUUCGGAUUCAUUGGGCGUAAAGGGUGCGUAGGCGGCGCGGUAAGUCGGGUGUGAAAUCUUGGAGCUUAACUCCGAAACUGCAUUCGAUACUGCCGUGCUUGAGGACUGGAGAGGAGACUGGAAUUUACGGUGUAGCGGUGAAAUGCGCAGAUAUCGGGAGGAACACCGGUGGCGAAGGCGGUUCUCUGGGCCUUACCUGACGCUGAGGAGCGAAAGCGUGGGGAGCGAACAGG